GGCGAGUGNNCGGCAACAGCUCAAAUUUGAAAGCUAGCCUUCGGGUUCGCAUUGUAAUUUGUAGAGGAUGAUUUGGGGAAGCCGCCUGUCUAAGUUCCUUGGAACAGGACGUCAUAGAGGGUGAGAAUCCCGUAUGUGACAGGAAAUGGCACCCUAUGUAAAUCUCCUUCGACGAGUCGAGUUGUUUGGGAAUGCAGCUCUAAAUGGGAGGUAAAUUUCUUCUAAAGCUAAAUAUUGGCGAGAGACCGAUAGCGCACAAGUAGAGUGAUCGAAAGAUGAAAAGCACUUUGGAAAGAGAGUUAAAAAGCACGUGAAAUUGUUGAAAGGGAAGCGCUUGCAAUCAGACUUGUUUAAACUGUUCGGCCGGUCUUCUGACCGGUUUACUCAGUUUGGACAGGCCAGCAUCAGUUUCGGCGGCCGGAUAAAGGCUCUGGGAAUGUGGCCUCCACUUCGGUGGAGGUGUUAUAGCCCAGGGUGUAAUACGGCCAGCCGGGACUGAGGUCCGCGCUUCGGCUAGGAUGCUGGCGUAAUGGUUGUAAGCGACCCGUCUUGAAACCACG
rnacentral:rRNA from 1 species